rnacentral:RNase_P_RNA from 1 species
GAAGCUGACCAGACAGUCGCCGCUUCGUCGUCGUCCUCUUCGGGGGGGACGGGCGGAGGGGAGGAAAGUCCGGGCUCCAUAGGGCAGGGUGCCAGGUAACGCCUGGGGGGGAAACCCACGACCAGUGCAACAGAGAGCAAACCGCCGAUGGCCCGCGCAAGCGGGAUCAGGUAAGGGUGAAAGGGUGCGGUAAGAGCGCACCGCGCGGCUGGUAACAGUCCGUGGCACGGUAAACUCCACCCGGAGCAAGGCCAAAUAGG